rnacentral:rRNA from 1 species
AUUAAACGCUGGCGGCAUGCCUUACACAUGCAAGUCGAACGGGGGUAGCAAUACCCUAGUGGCGAACGGGUGAGUAAAGCAUCGGAACGUACCCAGUUGUGGGGGAUAACGUAGCGAAAGUUACGCUAUUACCGCAUACGCACUGAGGUGGAAAGCGGGGGAUCGCAAGACCUCGCGCAAUUGGAGCGGCCGAUGUCGGAUUAGCUAGUUGGUAGGGUAAAAGCCUACCAAGGCGACGAUCCGUAGCUGGUCUGAGAGGACGACCAGCCACACUGGGACUGAGACACGGCCCAGACUCCUACGGGAGGCAGCAGUGGGGAAUUUUGGACAAUGGGCGAAAGCCUGAUCCAGCCAUGCCGCGUGAGUGAAGAAGGCCUUCGGGUUGUAAAGCUCUUUCGGACAGAAAGAAAUCGCACGGGUAAAUAAUCCGUGUGGAUGACGGUACUGUAAGAAGAAGCACCGGCUAACUACGUGCCAGCCGCCGCAGUAA